UACGAAGGGUCCAAGCGUUAUCCGGAUUUAUUGGGUUUAAAGGGUGCGUAGGCGGGUGUUAAGUCAGUGGUGAAAUCUUGCAGCUUAACUGUAAAAUUGCCAUUGAUACUGACGAUCUUGAGUACACUUGAAGUGGGCGGAAUAUGUCAUGUAGAGGUGAAAUUCUUAGAGAUGACAUAGAACACCGAUUGCGAAGGCAGCUCACUAAAUUGUAACUGACGCUGAGGCACGAAAGCGUGGGGAUCAAACAGG
rnacentral:rRNA from 1 species